GUUUUCCACAAGACUGGCAUGAAAAAGGCCUCUCCCCAGUAUGAAUUUUCUUGUGACGAUUUAAAUCACUACGUUGAGAGAAACUCUUUCCACAUGAUUGGCAUGAAAAAGGUCUCUCACCUGUAUGAAUUUUCCUGUGACGAUAAAAAUUACUAAUAUG